rnacentral:rRNA from 1 species
CCAUGCUGAAUAUACCGGUUCUCGUUAGAUCACCGAAGUUAAGCAUCAUUGGGCGCGGUCAGUACUUGGGUGGGUGACCACCUGGGAACACUGCGUGCCGUU